GUCCACGUGACCUAACGGAUAAGACGUCUGACUUCGAAUCAGAAGAUUACAGAUUCGAAUACUGCCGUAGACU